UCCAGAGGUGGCAAGCGUUGUUCGGAAUUACUGGGCGUAAAGGGCGCGUAGGCGGCCCGUCAAGUCCCGUGUGAAAGCCCCCGGCUCAACCGGGGAACUGCACGGGAAACUAGCAGGCUUGAGUUCGGGAGAGGGAAGCGGAAUUUCGGGUGUAGCGGUGAAAUGCGCAGAUAUCCGAAGGAACACCGGUGGCGAAGGCGGCUUCCUGGACCGACACUGACGCUGAGGCGCGAAAGCUAGGGGAGCAAACGGG
rnacentral:rRNA from 1 species